rnacentral:rRNA from 1 species
AUCAUUCAAGUUUCUGCCCUAUCAGCUUUCGAUGGUAGUGUAUUGGACUACCAUGGCAGUAACGGGUAACGGAGAAUUAGGGUUCGGUUCCGGAGAGGGAGCCUGAGAAACGGCUACCACAUCUAAGGAAGGCAGCAGGCGCGUAAAUUACCCAAUGCAGAUUCUGCGAGGUAGUGACAACACAUAACAACCUGGGGCCUCACGGCUUACGGGAUUGCAAUGAGAA